GGGAGGCUCCGAGCCCGGGGCAGAGGCGCCUACCCGCAAACUUCGUAGUGAAGUCCAGGGAUUCCGAAAACGAAAAACUCAAGCCCAGCCCUCCCCCUCCCGCUCGCGUCUCCCACGCGGCGUGCAGACUUCGCGCUAGACUUUGCGAUCGGGGUUAGUUGCUGUGUGUAGUGUCCCCGAAGUCUGCAGGCGGAGCGGGAGGGGAGAGGCUCCUGUCCUGGGGUUGGGCCCGACUCCAUGCCCCGAGGGGAAAUCCCGCGGGCCGCUGCGCGGAGCUGUAGCCAGAACAGGCUACCCCUGGGCCCCGCGAUAUGCCGGGUCCCGGCCUAGGCCCAGGGUGUGAGCGGACAGGUCUUUGCCCCCAGACCACAGCUCUGGCCGCGGGCGCUGCGCUGGCGACUGCCUUAGCCUCCUGCCUUCUCUUCAAUCCCAUCUCAGAGUCUAGUCUAAAGGACUGUUGACUUUGUCUCUGGAGAUGGGGCGACCAGGGGUCUGCGAAGGAGGUUGUGGAGAGGCAUCUCCUGGGUGGGGCUCCGGGCCCUCUCUCCUUGGAACCUCUUGGAGUGCUUUGUUAUAGCCCAGAGACUUCCUAAAGAACUCUGCCACAUCCGGGCCCCGGACUCCAGAGUCCCUUGGUGGCCAUGGGAGCGCGACCCUGAGAGCCUGGGGACUAGGGAGCACAGGGAAAGCGCGCACGGCCCACUGGGAGGGCGUUGGGCGGAGAGUGCCGGAGUCUGGAGCCGCGGCUGGGAAGCCGCGGACAGCACCUAAGGACGCCUUAGGCAGGAGCUCCUCAGGGUCACUUUAAACGCUCUGCAACCCUUCCCCAGCCUUUCGGAUCCCCGCAGGCCCUCGGCCCAUGCAAAGUCUGUUUUGAAAUUCAAAGUGUAAAAUGGGGAUAUGGAGGAAUGGGCAAGACUUGAAUGCACAUGUUUCGUCGCCCAGGUUUGGGUAGUGCUGUCCUCAGUCUCUUGGGGCAUACUUCUUUCCGAGAUCUGGCACAAACGACCCCUCAGGGCUUAAAGACUUGCGAAUGACAGAUG